rnacentral:rRNA from 1 species
CCUACGGGAGGCAGCAGUGGGGAAUUUUGGACAAUGGGCGAAAGCCUGAUCCAGCAAUGCCGCGUGCAGGAAGAAGGCCUUCGGGUUGUAAACUGCUUUUGUACGGAACGAAACGGUCUGCUUUAAUACAGUGGGCUAAUGACGGUACCGUAAGAAUAAGCACCGGCUAACUACGUGCCAGCAGCCGCGGUAAUACGUAGGGUGCGAGCGUUAAUCGGAAUUACUGGGCGUAAAGCGUGCGCAGGCGGUUAUAUAAGACAGUUGUGAAAUCCCCGGGCUCAACCUGGGAAUUGCAUUUGUGACUGUAUAGCUAGAGUACGGUAGAGGGGGAUGGAAUUCCGCGUGUAGCAGUGAAAUGCGUAGAUAUGCGGAGGAACACCGAUGGCGAAGGCAAUCCCCUGGACCUGUACUGACGCUCAUGCACGAAAGCGUGGGGAGCAAACAGGAUUAGAUACCCUGGUAGUCCACGCCCUAAACGAUGUCAACUGGUUGUUGGGUGCAUUAGUACUCAGUAACGAAGCUAACGCGUGAAGUUGACCGCCUGGGGAGUACGGCCGCGAAGGUUGAAACGUCAAAUUAGAGUUGNGNGNGAGAGNGCGAGCGACGACGAGGAGGAGG